AUGGCUUGUGUCGCACGCACUCUUUCCAUUCCUUUCUUGCUUGCAUUAUUCUUCGUGGCUGAGGUAUCCGGGAGCAUGAACGUAGAAUCAUACAAACCGGCUGGUGCAGAAGGAUCUGUUCCUUUAAAAGAAUGCCCAGCGAAAUGCAAGAUCCGUUGCUCAGCUACGUCACACAAGAAACCAUGCAAUUUCUAUUGUAACUACUGCUGCAAGAGGUGCCUGUGUGUUCCGUCCGGCACGGUGGGCAACAAGGAAGAAUGCCCGUGCUACAACAACUUGAAGACCCAGGAUGGCAAGCCUAAGUGCCCGUGA
rnacentral:rRNA from 1 species